GACGAACGCUGGCGGCGUGCUUAACACAUGCAAGUCGAACGCAGUGGCGAACGGGUGAGUAACGCGUAAUCAACCUGCCAUUCAGAGGGGGACAACAGUUGGAAACGACUGAUAAUACCGCAUACGGAAGGAGGGGAUUGCGUCUGAUUAGCUAGUUGGGGGGGUAACGGCCCACCAAGGCGAUGAUCAGUAGCCGGGCUGAGAGGAGGAACGGCCACAUUGGGACUGAGACACGGCCCAGACUCCUAAGGGAGGCAGCAGUGGGGAAUCUUCCGCAAUGGACGAAAGGCUUACGGGGCAACGCCGCGUGAGUGAUGACGGCCUUCGGGUUGUAAAGCUUUGUUAAUCGGGACGCGGUACCGGAAUAGAAAGCCACGGCUAACUACGUGCCAGCAGCCGCGGUAAUUC
rnacentral:rRNA from 1 species